rnacentral:rRNA from 1 species
CCUACGGGAGGCAGCAGUAGGGAAUCUUCCACAAUGGGCGAAAGCCUGAUGGAGCAACGCCGCGUGGGUGAAGAAGGUCUUCGGAUCGUAAAACCCUGUUGUUAGAGAAGAAAGUGCGUGAGAGUAACUGUUCACGUUUCGACGGUAUCUAACCAGACAGCCACGGCUAACUACGUGCCAGCAGCCGCGGUAAUACGUAGGUGGCAAGCGUUAUCCGGAUUUAUUGGGCGUAAAGGGAACGCAGGCGGUCUUUUAAGUCUGAUGUGAAAGCCUUCGGCUUAACCGGAGUAGUGCAUUGGAAACUGGGAGACUGGAGUGCAGAAGAGGAGAGUGGAACUCCAUGUGUAGCGGUGAAAUGCGUAGAUAUAGGGAAGAACACCAGUGGCGAAAGCGGCUCUCUGGUCUGUAACUGACGCUGAGGUUCGAAAGCGUGGGUAGCAAACAGGAUUAGAUACCCGAGUAGUC